rnacentral:rRNA from 1 species
UACGUAGGGUGCGAGCGUUAAUCGGAAUUACUGGGCGUAAAGCGUGCGCAGGCGGUUCGUUGUGUCUGCUGUGAAAUCCCCGGGCUCAACCUGGGAAUGGCAGUGGAAACUGGCGAGCUUGAGUGUGGCAGAGGGGGGUGGAAUUCCGCGUGUAGCAGUGAAAUGCGUAGAGAUGCGGAGGAACACCGAUGGCGAAGGCAGCCUCCUGGGCCAAUACUGACGCUCAUGCACGAAAGCGUGGGGAGCAAACAGG